rnacentral:rRNA from 1 species
AACGAACGCUGGCGGCAUGCCUAACACAUGCAAGUCGAACGAGACCUUCGGGUCUAUUGGCGCACGGGUGCGUACCGCGGGGGAACCUGCCCUUAGGUUCGGAAUACCUCCCCGUAAGGGGUGCUAAUACCGGAUAAUGUCUUCGCACCAAAGAUUUAUCGCCUUUGGAUGGGCCCGCGUUGGUUUCGCUAGUUGGUAGGGUAAAAGCCUACCAAGGCGACGAUCCAUAGCUGGUCGGAGAGGAUGAUCAGCCACACUGGGAAUGCGACACGGCCCAGACUCCUACGGGAGGCAGCAGAGGGGAAUAUUGGACGAUGGGCGAAAGCCUGAUACAGCAAUGCCGCGUGAGUGAUGAAGGCCUUAGGGUUGUAAAGCUCUUUUACCCGGGAUGAUAAUGACAGUACCGGGAGAAUAAGCACCGGCUAACUACGUG